rnacentral:rRNA from 1 species
AACGCGAAGAACCUUACCUGGGUUUGACAUAUACCGGACGACUGCAGAGAUGUGGUUUCCCUUGUGGUCGGUAUACAGGUGGUGCAUGGCUGUCGUCAGCUCGUGUCGUGAGAUGUUGGGUUAAGUCCCGCAACGAGCGCAACCCUUGUCCUGUGUUGCCAGCACGUAAUGGUGGGGACUCGCAGGAGACUGCCGGGGUCAACUCGGAGGAAGGUGGGGACGACGUCAAGUCAUCAUGCCCCUUAUGUCCAGGGCUUCACACAUGCUACAAUGGUCGGUACAGAGGGCUGCGAUACCGUGAGGUGGAGCGAAUCCCUUAAAGCCGGUCUCAGUUCGGAUCGGGGUCUGCAACUCGACCCCGUGAAGUCGGAGUCGCUAGUAAUCGCAGAAUCAGCAUGCCGCGGUGAAUACGUUCCCGGGUCUUGUACACACCG